rnacentral:rRNA from 1 species
UACGUAGGGUGCGAGCGUUAAUCGGAAUUACUGGGCGUAAAGCGCACGUAGGCGGCUUUCUAAGUCGGGGGUGAAAUCCUGGAGCUCAACUCCAGAACUGCCUUCGAUACUGGAAAGCUCGAGUCCGGGAGAGGUGAGUGGAACUGCGAGUGUAGAGGUGAAAUUCGUAGAUAUUCGCAAGAACACCAGUGGCGAAGGCGGCUCACUGGCCCGGUACUGACGCUGAGGUGCGAAAGCUAGGGGAGCGAACGGG